GUCCAUUUCACACGUCGAUAUCAGAAUCCUAGCUCAGGUUCCCUUCCACCCCGGGUUCGUUUAAAACCACAGAGGUACAGGAAUGAAGAAAAUGACUCUUCUCUGAAGACAGGACUUGAGAAAAUGCGGAGUGGCAAGAUGGCACCCAAGCCCCAGUCUCGCUGCACCUCUACCCGCUCAGCAGAAUUUAUAGACCAGGAAGCUGACUAAUCAUUUGGAAGGAACAUCCAUUCAACUCUCAUUUACAGAUGUGGAACCAAAGACCAAACAAUUAUCUGUGAGAGGCCAGGUCUCAACAAAUGGCAGCUAUUACAUCAGACAGUGACGAGUCCUGCUGCUCCCUUACAGUGUCUGACAGACCACUGUGGAUUCAGACUGGGAGCAUUGAAGUUAACAGUGAAACGGGCAGCACAAAGACAUUAGCAGGCUGCUGGUUUCAUGGACCUGUACCACAAUGACACAGAGAACACCAGAGCAUCAGGACUGAAUGAAAUUGGAGUUUUUAAAGCUGCACUAAGAAGUAAAUGUUAAGGCAGUGGUUAAAAACAACAGUCUAUAAAGGGGCACUUGCAAAUUGUGCUGUCUUAAACCGAAGAAAAGGUAUUAGGGAAUAUUUUAUAAAAAAUAAACUUGCAAUAAAUUAUGCAUGAGAUGAGGAGAAAAAUGAUGUGAAUUACACACGUAAGAACUCACUUGAAUUUUAUAUAUGAAGAAACACUGACAGUAACUUCUUU
rnacentral:lncRNA from 1 species